ACGAACUCUGGUAUUGAUUGGUGCUUGCAUCAUGAUUUACAUUUGAGUGAGUGGCGAACUGGUGAGUAACACGUGGGAAACCUGCCCAGAAGCGGGGGAUAACACCUGGAAACAGAUGCUAAUACCGCAUAACAACUUGGACCGCAUGGUCCGAGUUUGAAAGAUGGCUUCGGCUAUCACUUUUGGAUGGUCCCGCGGCGUAUUAGCUAGAUGGUGGGGUAACGGCUCACCAUGGCAAUGAUACGUAGCCGACCUGAGAGGGUAAUCGGCCACAUUGGGACUGAGACACGGCCCAAACUCCUACGGGAGGCAGCAGUAGGGAAUCUUCCACAAUGGACGAAAGUCUGAUGGAGCAACGCCGCGUGAGUGAAGAAGGGUUUCGGCUCGUAAAACUCUGUUGUUAAAGAAGAACAUAUCUGAGAGUAACUGUUCAGGUAUUGACGGUAUUUAACCAGAAAGCCACGGCUAACUACGUGCCAGCAGCCGCGGUAAUACGUAGGUGGCAAGCGUUGUCCGGAUUUAUUGGGCGUAAAGCGAGCGCAGGCGGUUUUUUAAGUCUGAUGUGAAAGCCUUCGGCUCAACCGAAGAAGUGCAUCGGAAACUGGGAAAC
rnacentral:rRNA from 2 species